rnacentral:rRNA from 1 species
CCUACGGGAGGCUGCAGUGGGGAAUAUUGGACAAUGGGCGAAAGCCUGAUCCAGCCAUGCCGCGUGUGUGAAGAAGGCCUUCGGGUUGUAAAGCACUUUCAGUGGGGAAGAAAGCCUUGGGGCUAAUACCCUCGAGGAAGGACAUCACCCACAGAAGAAGCACCGGCUAACUCCGUGCCAGCAGCCGCGGUAAUACGGAGGGUGCGAGCGUUAAUCGGAAUUACUGGGCGUAAAGCGCGCGUAGGCGGUCUGAUAAGCCGGUUGUGAAAGCCCCGGGCUCAACCUGGGAACGGCAUCCGGAACUGUCAGGCUAGAGUGCAGGAGAGGAAGGUAGAAUUCCCGGUGUAGCGGUGAAUGCGUAGAGAUCGGGAGGAAUACCAGUGGCGAAGGCGGCCUUCUGGACUGACACUGACGCUGAGGUGCGAAAGCGUGGGUAGCAAACAGGAUUAGAUACCCCGGUAGUC